UCAGAGGGAUCACAUCUACAACGGGCCCAGAAUGCCGCUGGCGGAGUGUUAACACGCACCAGUCAGAGGGAUCACAUCUACAACGGGCCCAGAAUGCCGCUGGCGGAGUGUUAACACGCACCAGUCAGAGGGAUCACAUCUACAACGGGCCCAGAAUGCCGCUGGCGGAGUGUUAACACGCACCGGUCACAGGGAUCACAUCUACAACGGGCCCAGAAUGCCGCUGGCGGAGUGUUAACACGCACCGGUCACAGGGAUCACAUCUACAACGGGCCCAGAAUGCCGCUGGCGGAGUGUUAACACGCACCGGUCACAGGGAUCACAUCUACAACGGGCCCAGAAUGCCGCUGGCGGAGUGUUAACACGCACCAGUCACAGGGAUCACAUCUACAACGGCCCCAGAAUGCCGCUGGUGGAGUGUUAACACGCACCAGUCACAGGGAUCACAUCUACAACGGGCCCAGAAUUCCGCUGGCGGAGUGUUAACACGCACCAGUCACUGGGAUCCCAUCUACAACGGCCCCAGAAUGCCACCGGCGGAGUGUUAACACGCACCAGUCACAGGGAUCACAUCUACAACGGGGCCCAGAAUGCCGCUGGCGGAGUGUUAACACGCACCAGUCACAGGGAUCACAUCUACAACGGGCCCAGAAUGCCGCUGGCGGAGUGUUAACACGCACCAGUCACAGGGAUCACAUCUACAACGGGCUCAGAAUGCCGCAGGCGGAGUGUUAACACGCACCAGUCACAGGGAUCACAUCUACAACGGCCCCAGAAUGCCGCUGGCGGAGUGUUAACACGCACCAGUCACAGGGAUCACAUCUACAAUGGACCCAGAAUGCCGCUGGCGGAGUGUUAACACGCACCAGUCACAGGGAUCACAUCUACAACGCCCCCAGAAUGCCGCUGGUGGAGUGUUAACACGCACCAGUCACAGGGAUCACAUCUACAACGGGCCCAGAAUGCCGCUGACGGGGUGUUAACAUGCACCAGUCACAGGGAUCACAUCUACAACGGGCCCAGAAUUCCGCAGGCGGAGUGUUAACACGCACCAGUCACAGGGAUCCCAUCUACAACGGCCCCAGAAUGCCACCGGCGGAGUGUUAACACGCACCAGUCACAGGGAUCACAUCUACAACGCCCCCAGAAUGCCGCUGGCGGAGUGUUAACACGCACCAGUCACAGGGAUCACAUCUACAACGCCCCCAGAAUGCCGCUGGCGGAGUGUUAACACGCACCAGUCACAGGGAUCACAUCUACAACGCCCCCAGAAUGCCGCUGGCGGAGUGUUAACACGCACCAGUCACAGGGAUCACAUCUACAACGCCCCCAGAAUGCCGCUGGCGGAGUGUUAAUACGCACCAGUCACAGGGAUCACAUCUACAACGGGCCCAGAAUUCCGCUGGCGGAGUGUUAACAUGCACCAGUCACAGGGAUCACAUCUACAACGAGCCCAGAGUGCCGCUGGAGGAGUGUUAACACGCACCAGUCACAGGGAUCACAUCUACAACGGGCCCAGAAUGCCGCAGGCGGAGUGUUAACACGCACCAGUCACAGGGAUCACAACUACAACGAGCCCAGAGUGCCGCUGGUGGAGUGUUAACACGCACCAGUCACAGGGAUCACAUCUACAACGGGCCCAGAAUGCCGCUGGCGGAGUGUUAACACGCACCAGUCAGAGGGAUCACAUCUACAACGGGCCCAGAAUGCCGCUGGCGGAGUGUUAACACGCACCGGUCACAGGGAUCACAUCUACAACGGGCCCAGAAUGCCGCUGGCGGAGUGUUAACACGCACCAGUCAGAGGGAUCACAUCUACAACGGGCCCAGAAUGCCGCUGGCGGAGUGUUAACACGCACCAGUCAGAGGGAUCACAUCUACAACGGGCCCAGAAUGCCGCUGGCGGAGUGUUAACACGCACCAGUCAGAGGGAUCACAUCUACAACGGGCCCAGAAUGCCGCUGGCGGAGUGUUAACACGCACCAGUCAGAGGGAUCACAUCUACAACGGGCCCAGAAUGCCGCUGGCGGAGUGUUAACACGCACCAGUCAGAGGGAUCACAUCUACAACGGGCCCAGAAUGCCGCUGGCGGAGUGUUAACACGCACCGGUCACAGGGAUCACAUCUACAACGGGCCCAGAAUGCCGCUGGCGGAGUGUUAACACGCACCGGUCACAGGGAUCACAUCUACAACGGGCCCAGAAUGCCGCUGGCGGAGUGUUAACACGCACCGGUCACAGGGAUCACAUCUACAACGGGCCCAGAAUGCCGCUGGCGGAGUGUUAACACGCACCGGUCACAGGGAUCACAUCUACAACGGGCCCAGAAUGCCGCUGGCGGAGUGUUAACACGCACCAGUCACAGGGAUCACAUCUACAACGGCCCCAGAAUGCCGCUGGCGGAGUGUUAACACGCACCAGUCACAGGGAUCACAACUACAACGAGCCCAGAGUGCCGCUGGUGGAGUGUUAACACGCACCAGUCACAGGGAUCACAUCUACAACGGGCCCAGAAUGCCGCUGGCGGAGUGUUAACACGCACCAGUCAGAGGGAUCACAUCUACAACGGGCCCAGAAUGCCGCUGGCGGAGUGUUAACACGCACCGGUCACAGGGAUCACAUCUACAACGGGCCCAGAAUGCCGCUGGCGGAGUGUUAACACGCACCAGUCAGAGGGAUCACAUCUACAACGGGCCCAGAAUGCCGCUGGCGGAGUGUUAACACGCACCAGUCAGAGGGAUCACAUCUACAACGGGCCCAGAAUGCCGCUGGCGGAGUGUUAACACGCACCAGUCAGAGGGAUCACAUCUACAACGGGCCCAGAAUGCCGCUGGCGGAGUGUUAACACGCACCAGUCAGAGGGAUCACAUCUACAACGGGCCCAGAAUGCCGCUGGCGGAGUGUUAACACGCACCAGUCAGAGGGAUCACAUCUACAACGGGCCCAGAAUGCCGCUGGCGGAGUGUUAACACGCACCAGUCAGAGGGAUCACAUCUACAACGGGCCCAGAAUGCCGCUGGCGGAGUGUUAACACGCACCGGUCACAGGGAUCACAUCUACAACGGGCCCAGAAUGCCGCUGGCGGAGUGUUAACACGCACCGGUCACAGGGAUCACAUCUACAACGGGCCCAGAAUGCCGCUGGCGGAGUGUUAACACGCACCGGUCACAGGGAUCACAUCUACAACGGGCCCAGAAUGCCGCUGGCGGAGUGUUAACACGCACCAGUCACAGGGAUCACAUCUACAACGGCCCCAGAAUGCCGCUGGUGGAGUGUUAACACGCACCAGUCACAGGGAUCACAUCUACAACGGGCCCAGAAUUCCGCUGGCGGAGUGUUAACACGCACCAGUCACUGGGAUCCCAUCUACAACGGCCCCAGAAUGCCACCGGCGGAGUGUUAACACGCACCAGUCACAGGGAUCACAUCUACAACGGGGCCCAGAAUGCCGCUGGCGGAGUGUUAACACGCACCAGUCACAGGGAUCACAUCUACAACGGGCCCAGAAUGCCGCUGGCGGAGUGUUAACACGCACCAGUCACAGGGAUCACAUCUACAACGGGCUCAGAAUGCCGCAGGCGGAGUGUUAACACGCACCAGUCACAGGGAUCACAACUACAACGAGCCCAGAGUGCCGCUGGUGGAGUGUUAACACGCACCAGUCACAGGGAUCACAUCUACAACGGGCCCAGAAUGCCGCUGGCGGAGUGUUAACACAGCACCUGUCACAGGGAUCACAUCUACAACGGGCCCAGAAUGCCGCUGGUGGAGUGUUAACAGGCACCAGUCACAGGGAUCACAUUUACAACGGGCCCAGAAUGCCGCUGCCGGAGUGUUAACAUGCACCAGUCACAGGGACCACAUCUACAACGGACCCAGAAUGCCGCUGGCGGAGUGUUAACACGCACCAGUCACAGGGAUCACAUCUACAACGGGCCCAGAAUUCCGCUGGUGGAGUGUUAACACGCACCAGGCACAGGGAUCACAUCUACAACGGGCCCAGAAUGCAGCUGGCGGAGUGUUAA